rnacentral:rRNA from 1 species
CACGCCCUAAACGAUGUCAACUGGUUGUUGGGUCUUUGCUGACUCAGUAACGAAGCUAACGCGUGAAGUUGACCGCCUGGGGAGUACGGCCGCAAGGUUGAAACUCAAAGGAAUAGACGGGGACCCGCACAAGCGGUGGAGCAUGUGGUUUAAUUCGACGAUACACGAAGAACCUUACCUGGACUUGACAUAGUAAGAACUUUCUAGAGAUAGAUUGGUGUCUGCUUGCAGAAACUUAUAUACAGGUGC